AGAAAUCCAGUGAUGAGGAAUAGUAAUUAUGAAGUUAGCUUUAAGAGAGCUUGGGAUGGUGUGAUCCAAGUAGUUUUAAUUAAUAAUGAAUGGACCUUCUAGGAGUAAAUCGAAAUCCAAAGGGAGAGUAGUGGUUAUCGUAAGUCCUACGUUAUAAGGAAUAGGGUAUGUUAGUACCUGAAAGAAUUAAGAGGCAUAUUUUAUAUAUGCAAAUUAGGUGGCACCACGGAUAAUAUCUCCGUCCUAUUA
rnacentral:ncRNA from 1 species